CGUCAAACGGGUCUGUCCCCACAUUUGCGCAUUUAACGCACUCUCACCAGCACGUUGAUUUUUUUUAUCCUUUAGGAAUGUCGCCCGACUGGCACUGCGCGUACACGCAAACGUAAUGUACCGGUUAUCCUGGACUGUCCACAGAUUUGAAUGUUGACAGUUUUCACAGAAGAAACAGUCCCAAAGAAAACUGCUGACGGAGGGGAGAAACAAACCAGGAGUAAGGAGGCCUCUGAUUUGCAGUCAGUUGCUAAUAAAGCUGAUGAAAGCUUGCAUUCGAGUCUGCCAGCGUAGCAGAAUGUGACAGGCCAUUAAAGGCAUGUUAAAU